AUCCCGUUCUUGGUGUGUGAGCUGAAGGCAGUGCAUCCAUAUAGCAGAGGGUUUUUCUGUGGGGAUCCCAGCAUCAUGUAUCCAUACCAACACAGAGAGGCUAUACCAGAUCAGCUGCUCAUUACUGGUGGGAUCAUCAUCACCGGACUCACUAUAGCUUUAGGGGAGUGUUACCGGGUGCAUUACCGAGGGGUCAGCUCCAAAGCCUUCGUCAGGAACCUCUACGUCUCAUGCCUGUAUAAGGAGUUGGGUUCCUUCCUGUU